rnacentral:rRNA from 1 species
UUAAAAAGCUCGUAGUUGGAUUUCUGCGGGAGACGAAGGGUCUACCUUACGGGUAAGUAUCUCUCAGGCUCCUGCAUCCUCAACAGGAACGUCGCUGCGAUUCAUUUCGUGGUACGGUACUGUUGACUUUUACUUUGAAGAAAUUAGAGUGUUCACGGCAAGCAAACGCGUGUAUACAUUAGCAUGGAAUAAUAAUAUAGGACCUUGGAUCUAUUUUGCUGGUUUCUAGAACUAAGGUAAUGAUAAAUAGGGACAGUUUGGGGGCAUUUGUACUAACGCGUCAGAGGUGGAAUUCUUGGAUUGCGUUAUGACAAACUACUGCGAAAGCAUUUGCCAAGGAUGUUUUCAUUGAUCAAGAACGAAAGUAUGGGGAUCGAAGACGAUUAGAUACCGUCGUAAGUCUAUACCAUAAACUAUGCCAACUAGGAAUGAGACGGAUGUAUAUUUUAUGACCCGUUUCGCGCCCUUAUGAAAAAUCAAAGUUUUUGGGGUUCCCGGGGGAGUAUGGUCGCCAGUCUGAAACUUAAAGGAAU